rnacentral:tRNA from 1 species
GGUAUUUUAGUUUAACGGUAGAAUGUGAGAUUGUGGCUCUCAAGAAGUAGGUUCGACUCCUACAUUUACCCCA